rnacentral:lncRNA from 1 species
AUGCGGAGCUUUCAGAAUAUUCUACCAUCCUACAAUAAUUGCUACAUGCUUUUAGCCAUAGUAACAAAGAGCAUCUUUAACCUUCUAUGUGCAGAAACCUUUAUACCUUACUCUUCAGAGACAACUGCUUUAAAAAUUUCCAAAUUCACUUGCAGCCUCUAUUCUCUGCAAGAUCUUCCCAUCUAUUCCAACUGUGUCAAACUAUGGCAUAAACAGAAGAAAACAACAAUAGACUGUACAUGUCACUCACGUUGGCUGAGAGAUCAGCUGAGAAAGCAAGAAUUGGAAGAUGGAGGAAUAGAUGUACCAUCAUUUGAAAAAAAACCUGUUUUUAAACAAGCUGCCCUGAUAUUAAUAAGUGACAUGGAAAAGUGACUGCCUUGAACAUGCUCCUAUGAAAAGUGGCGUAAGAAGGUGAGGGAUGCCUGAGGAAGAAGGGCCUUCACCAUUAAUAAUUAUCUGCGAGGAACAGGCAGUGCCUGGGAGGUAGGCUGGAUUCACAGAAACAGAAAUCUAAAACAUUUGGGCAGGCUUCUGCUUUUUCAUGAGAGGUUGCUGCUGCUGAAUGCAAAUUCCCAACUGGAAUAAAGCUGAUAACAAAGCCA